rnacentral:tRNA from 1 species
GUCGGAGUGGCGGAAUUGGUAGACGCGCAAGGUUGAGGGCCUUGUGGGACGUAGUCCUGUGGGGGUUCGAGUCCCCCCUCCGACACCA